GAUACCCUGGUAGUCCACGCGGUAAACGAUGAAUGCUAAUUGUCCGUUGCGAGUGAGCGAUGGGUGAUACAGCGAAAGCGUUAAGCAUUCCCACCUGGGGAGUACGCCGGCAACGGUGAAACUCAAAGGAAUUGACGGGGGCCCGCACAAGCGGAGGAACAUGUGGAUUAAUUCGAUGAUACGCGAGGAACCUUACCCGGGCUCAAACGACAGAUGAAUGUUUUUGAAAGGAGGCAGACCUACGGGGCAUCUGUCGAGGUGCUGCAUGGUUGUCGUCAGCUCGUGCCGUGAGGUGUCGGCUUAAGUGCCAUAACGAGCGCAACCCCCAUCGCCAGUUGCCAACAGGUAAAGCUGGGAACUCUGGCGAGACUGCCGGCGCAAGCUGCGAGGAAGGCGGGGAUGACGUCAAAUCAGCACGGCCCUUACGUCCGGGGCGACACACGUGUUACAAUGGCAGGCACAGAGAGAAGCGACAUGGCGACAUGAAGCGGAACUGGUAAAACCUGUCUCAGUUCGGAUUGGAGUCUGCAACCCGACUCCAUGAAGCUGGAUUCGCUAGUAAUCGCGCAUCAGCCACGGCGCGGUGAAUACGUUCCCGGGCCUUGUACACACCGCCCGUCACACCAUGGGAGUUUGUAACACCCGAAGUCAGUAGUCUAACCGCAAGGAGGACGCUGCCGAAGGUGGGAUAAGCGACUGGGGUGAAGUCGUAACAAGGUAAC
rnacentral:rRNA from 1 species